CGCUGGCUGGGAGCGUAGAAGGGAGAGUGGGCGAGGCUCCGCCCCUGUGGUUGUGCUAUUUUCGUCGGCGUG
ensembl:miRNA